GGCUGCUUGACAGUAAAAUCCUCAAGAAUUAACUUCUUCAAUAAAUGGGAAAAUAAUUCAGUACGAUCUAGGAAUGCCUUGGCAUUGCAAUAUAAGAUUUAAUAGUAAUUCCUUGCACUUUCUGUUCUCCGGAUGAGAGAUGCUUUAUAAAUAUAAGGGGACAUUUAUUUCAGAGGAGCUCAGCUUGCUGGGUGCAAAGCAUGUCUAAGACUGGAGGACUCUGGCUGAAUGUUUCUGUUCCUCCUGGGGCAAGUACAGUCUCAGAGAUUCCCCUGUUCUCAGCUCCACAUUAUUUCCAUUUUGCUAACACUCGUUUUGUUAGGUUGAUUCACCUGAUUGUAGAGCCAUGCUUUAAAACUGAGUCAGCUCUGUUUUGUUGUUUCAAAGGUGGAGGCUAUGCUGGGCUAGAGGCAGAGUGGAAACCAGAUCUUCUUCCAGAGGAAGAGCAGCACAUAAAAGCAGCCAAGGGGCAUCAUGAGGACGUGGGCCAUCCAGGCAACAGCACCAGUCCGUGACGAUCUCUGAGCUGAAGCAUGUGAUACGGACAGCACGGUCUUAAAGCAGUGGCUACAGCAAAAGGUUUGUGACCAGCCAGUUGACAGGGUUGAUGUGUUCAAGGAGUGGGUUAUGAAUAUAUGAUUUCACAACAGCUACGUUCCUAAAAAUCAAAGCCUGUACAUGCUCAUUUGAAAGGGGACGUCAGCUGCAUAAACUCCCUUGUUCCUCCAGAACCCUGCUGACUGCUCAGGGUGUGUAGCUUUUCCUUGUUAUGCAGCUGGACAAAAAGCAGAGCAGGGCAAUGAAAUGGUUUGUCACUGUUAUGGAUGCAGAGGACUGAGAAGGGUGCCCCAAAGACAUGCUAAAGCUACGCGUCCGUCUGCCUAUGCAGAAUUUCUUCUCUGUGAUAGAUUUCCUUGUUCAAUUCCAGCUGGUUUGAGCAUCGGGGACCUUGAAUCCUUUGGGAAUUGUGAACAGAAGGCACCUGACAACUGCAUUAAUACUUAUGCUGGAAGAGGUCUGCUGGUCUUUUAAUACAUGUAGUGUUUCUUAUAUCUGCAUGCGGCAGGUUAUUUGUAGCAGGGAUUUAACCCUGGAUCUUUUUAUGUAAAGAACAAGGCUUUAUGUCUGCGGUAAAAGGUUGAGCUGUUGGUUUAUACCCCCUCAGAGAUGUCGGUCACUAGAGGGAGACAGAAUCAUGCUCUGCAAGUACAGACUGCCACUUCCAGCACUGCCAGCCCUCACCACGAGCUGUUGUUAGCAGUAGGUUGUGAAAAAUGUUCACAUUAUUACAUUAACAAAACAGUUUCGUUGACAGUGAUUGAGCCAAUCUGUUCAGCCCUGACAGUGAGAAAUCUCUUCUCUGCCUGCAAGAGCAAUUUGUGUAAUUAUACAUGUGUCAACGAAAUGAGGUAAGGAAUAAAUCAGUGUCAGGGCACUAAACCA
rnacentral:lncRNA from 1 species